rnacentral:rRNA from 1 species
CAGCCGCCACGGUAAUACGUAGGGUGCGAGCGUUAAUCGGAAUUACUAGGCGUAAAGCGCACGCAGGCGGUUUGUUAAGUCAGAUGUGAAAUCCCCGAGCUUAACUCGGGAACUGCAUUUGAAACUGGCAGGCUAGAGUCUCGUAGAGGGGGGUAGAAUUCCAGGUGUAGCGGUGAAAUGCGUAGAGAUCUGGAGGAAUACCGGUGGCGAAGGCGGCCCCCUGGACGAAGACUGACGCUCAGGUACGAAAGCGUGGGGAGCAAACAGGAUUAGAUACCCGCGUAGUCCCUGUCUCUUAUAC